rnacentral:rRNA from 1 species
UACGUAGGGUGCAAGCGUUGUCCGGAAUUAUUGGGCGUAAAGAGCUCGUAGGCGGUGUGUUACGUCGGCCGUGAAAACCUGCAGCUUAACUGUGGGCGUGCGGUCGAUACGGGCAUCACUGGAGUUCGGCAGGGGAGACUGGAAUUCCUGGUGUAGCGGUGAAAUGCGCAGAUAUCAGGAGGAACACCGGUGGCGAAGGCGGGUCUCUGGGCCGAUACUGACGCUGAGGAGCGAAAGCGUGGGGAGCAAACAGG